UCAGAAGAACACAGAGAUCAGAACUUGAGGUCAGACAAUGAGUCCAGGCAAAAAGAACACUCAUAGACAAUGAGAAGACACACAGAAGAGACAAGACAAACUGUUGUGAAAGUAACCAAUAAAAAUGUGAAUGGUACAUGUGAUGGCUCAUCUUCAUUGUCAACUUGAUUGGAUUCUCAAUCCCCAUGAAGACACACAUCUGGCUAUAUGACGAUGAAGCUGCCUUGUACCCUGCAGAUGAAGUUAGGAUGACUGGCCAAUGAGCUGCAAAGAUGCACCUGUUUCUGCCUCUCCAGUGCUGGAAUUAGAAGCACAUGUCACUGUACCCAGCUUUCCUACUUGUGUUCCAGAGAUCGAACUCAGGUCCCCAUGCUUGUAUGACGACAAAUAAUUUUACUGACUAAA